GACGAACGCUGGCGGCGUGCUUAACACAUGCAAGUCGAACGAUGAAGCUGGAGCUUGCUCCGGUGGAUUAGUGGCGAACGGGUGAGUAACACGUGAGCAAUCUGCCCUUGACUCCGGGAUAACUGCGGGAAACUGUAGCUAAUACCGGAUACGAGACCUGAAGGCAUCUUCGGGUCUGGAAAGAAUUUCGGUCAAGGAUGAGCUCGCGGCCUAUCAGCUUGUUGGUGAGGUAAUGGCUCACCAAGGCGACGACGGGUAGCCGGCCUGAGAGGGUGACCGGCCACACUGGGACUGAGACACGGCCCAGACUCCUACGGGAGGCAGCAGUGGGGAAUAUUGCACAAUGGGCGAAAGCCUGAUGCAGCAACGCCGCGUGAGGGAUGACGGCCUUCGGGUUGUAAACCUCUUUCAGCACCGACGAAGCGCAAGUGACGGUAGGUGCAGAAGAAGGACCGGCCAACUACGUGCCAGCCGCCGCUGUAA
rnacentral:rRNA from 1 species